AUUGAACGCUGGCGGCAGGCUUAACACAUGCAAGUCGAGCGGGGGAGGUUGCUUCGGUAACUGACCUAGCGGCGGACGGGUGAGUAAUGCUUAGGAAUCUGCCUAUUAGUGGGGGACAACAUUCCGAAAGGGAUGCUAAUACCGCAUACGCCCUCCGAGGGAAAGCAGGGGAUCUUCGGACCUUGCGCUAAUAGAUGAGCCUAAGUCGGAUUAGCUAGUUGGUGGGGUAAAGGCCUACCAAGGCGACGAUCUGUAGCAGGUCUGAGAGGAUGAUCCGCCACACUGGGACUGAGACACGGCCCAGACUCCUACGGGAGGCAGCAGUGGGGAAUAUUGGACAAUGGGCGGAAGCCUGAUCCAGCCAUGCCGCGUGUGUGAAGAAGGCCUUUUGGUUGUAAAGCACUUUAAGCGAGGAGGAGGCUCUUAAGGUUAAUACCCUUGAUGAGUGGACGUUACUCGCAGAAUAAGCACCGGCUAACUCUGUGCCAGCCGCCGCCGUAAAAC
rnacentral:rRNA from 1 species